CAGCCAGAUAGGGCUGAAAAAAGAGAGAAGGCACUGUAGUUCCUCCUCGCUGAUCUGAAGCCUGCAAACAGAGAUCGUUUCAGAUAUAAAUACUUGGAGCUGCCUGGUUGCCUGGGAGGCUGUUGUAAGAGUGAAGCAUACCGAUCCCUUCUCUGAAGAACAGCUGCAAAUGAUGGCUGAGCUCAGUUAUUAUCCUGGAUAGCAUGAAAAUUAAGGAUCUCUUCCAAGUACUUCCUCUGCAUUAUAGACUUACUUUCAGCUUCUG
rnacentral:lncRNA from 1 species